rnacentral:lncRNA from 1 species
CUUUAUCUAUAUUGCACACAUUGAAUCAGACUUUAUUCUUAAAGAGAGAACUGUAAUUUAAUUUAAUUUAAUUUGAGUUGAACAGCAAACUUAUAAAAUAACUCUUUUCAAAAAGGGGGGAUGUCAUGUAUUGGUCUUACAUUGUAUUGGGUUAUCAGAUGUAUCUGUAUGUUGUACUCUCUUAUGUGAAGUCAUUAAACAUAUCUACCAUGCUGAACUGAGUUAUAUGAUA